rnacentral:lncRNA from 1 species
GAACAGGAUUCUGGGAAAGAGUCAUGGCGGCGCCCAGCCGCGGCGAGAGGCGCGGGUUGCAGCCUCUGGCUCUGCCGUGGUGCUGCUCCCAGGGAUGCAGCGGUGCUCAGACUACUCCCUCUGCCCCCUCACACUUAGUUCUUAAAUAGGGAUGGCAAAAUCAAUUUCACAGGUGGAGAACCUGAAACUCAGAAAGAUUACAUACUGCUUGUGGUGGUGGCGGUUGUUUUUUCUUACAAGAUCUCACAGCAAGUAGAAAGCCAAGAGUCUGGCCCAAGGUACAGCGUAAGGCAGCUGGGUCCACGAUGCGGCAGCCGAUGCAAAUGGAGUGGAAUUGACUAUAGGAUGUCCACCGUGUGUGCUGGGGCUGGCACUGGGUGCGAUAAGAGGGGCUCCUAACGUGCCUAUGCGUGCCCCCAAGAAUGAGACUCUCCCGCAGGUUUGCACUGUAGGCACCUCUCUCACCUCUCAAGCCCUGGCCUUGGUGAGGGGACUGGGAAAAGAUUGAAGGUUGCUCUUAAAGAGGCAUUUGCUGGAUUCCUUUUGUGAG